AACGAACGCUGGCGGCAGGCCUAACACAUGCAAGUCGAGCGAGGACUUCGGUCCUAGCGGCGGACGGGUGAGUAACGCGUGGGAACGUGCCCUUUGCUUCGGAAUAGCCCUGGGAAACUGGGAGUAAUACCGGAUGAGCCCUUUGGGGGAAAGAUUUAUCGGCGAAGGAUGGGCCCGCGUUGGAUUAGGUAGUUGGUGGGGUAAUGGCCUACCAAGCCGACGAUCGAUAGCUGGUUUGAGAGGAUGAUCAGCCACACUGGGACUGAGACACGGCCAAGACGGCGACGCGAGGGAGAAGUGGGGAAGGGUGUACAAGGGGAGGAAGUCGGAUUCAGCAACGUCGCGCGGGGGAAGAGGGCAUGCGGGGAGGAAACGGAUUUCCCCUGGGACGAAGCGUGAGUGACGGUAAGUGGUAAAGAAGCACCGGCUAACUACGUG
rnacentral:rRNA from 1 species